ensembl:lncRNA
CCUUUCUGUCUGGGAGCUUCCAUGUGGACCGAGAGAGGAGGAGAGAGGGAGGAAACAGAGGAUGCAGACAGCAACACAGAGGAGACACAGAGCGCAGGAGGAGGGAAAGUAACUGAUGGAGAGAAAGUGAGAGAGAGAGAGAGAGAGAGAGAGAGAGAGAUGGAGUGAGCAGCUCUGAACAACACUGAGAGCUCGGGAGGGAAGAUGCCAGACAAAAUAUGAAGAAAGACCUGAGUCUAUUAAAAAUGGCAAGAAAAACCGAACAUAGAUUCUGAAACGGGAGACGUUGAAGGUAAAUUCAGGAUGUCUGGGGAUUUUUAAAGUCGUCUAGUCUUCCGGACGUUAAUCGUAGAUGCUGUGAUUCCCUUGGACGUUUGUCAGAUGGGAUUUCCUGCUCUCUUCUGGAACUAUCUGCAUGUUUUCUUGCCCUCCAACCUUUAAAGUUCUCCUGUUUUCCCUGUUACCCGAUCUUCAAGUCAUCAUUUUCAGUUGAAAGAGGACCAGUCUUCCAUUCUUGCAAAAACAACACCACCGUCAAGCAGCUUCAUCACUCAGCACAGAUAACAAGCCUGUACUAACUGGAUUCUCGAGGUUCCAGAAACAAUCUGAGCUCGGGAUAAACAAGCCUGUGACAGAACUGGACCAGGCCAACAAAAGGGUGCAGGGGGAGUGGACCGGGACCCAGGCCGCGUGGGGCUUCCAGCGGUUCUUUCAGGUCCUGCAGGGAUGGAUGCAACGGCAGAAUAGAAAACAGGACGGGACGUUUCUGCUGUCCCACUGGUACAAUGCGUGGUCUUCUUCAUUUCUAGAAGCCAUUUGGCUGUUGUGCAGGGUUACUGAAUGUCCCUCUGAGCCUCACAAGGUGUUUGGGCCAUGUGCAAGUGCCUUUCUGACUGGGCCUAGAGCAAGGAGGUGCCACUUGUAUUUCCCCCUAAUUGGGUUGGAAAUAAUCGCGUUUCACUGCUGAAUGGCUAAGCCAUAGCAGAGUGGAGAGAGGGUGACAAGCUUGUCUCACAGAGUCUCAUGGGUCCUUAUGGUUCUGCAACAGCUGCUCGGCUUAGUGCUGCUAACCUCCAGCCAUCUUCUGUGACGAAAACAACAAAUAAAUACUUGAGAAGGUGCA